UUCCGGUUGAUCCUGCCGGAGGUCACUGCUAUCCGAAUUCGACUAAGCCAUGCAAGUCCCGGUGUUCAUUUAUGGACGCCGUGGCGGAAAGCUCAGUAACACGUAGUUAACAUUCCCUCGAGUCUGGGAUAAUCUCGGGAAACUGAGGCUAACACCAGAUGGACAAGGGGUACUGGAAUGUCCCCUUAUCAAAAGUCCGCGCUCGAGGAUUGGACUGCGACGGAUUAGGUUGUUGCCAGGGUAACGUCCUAGCAAGCCGAUAAUCUGUACGAGCCUUGAGAGAGGAAGCUCGGAGAUGGAUUCUGAGACAAGAAUCCAGGUCCUACGGGACGCAGCAGGCGCGAAACUUUCCCAAUGCACGAAAGUGUGAGGAAGGGAUUUGGAGUGCUCUCCCCACUUUAGGGGGAGCUUUUGUGGAGUGUUUACAGCUCCAAGAAUAAGUGGUGGGUAAGACGGGUGCCAGCCGCCGCGGUAAUACCCGCGCCACGAGUGGUGACCACGAUUAUUGGGCUUAAAGCGUUCGUAGCCGGUUCAGUAAGUCUUUAGUGAAAUCCCAUAGCUAACUAUGGGGCCUGCUAGGGAAACUACUGAGCUAGGGACCGGGAGAGGUCUGGGGUAUUCCAGGGGUAGGGGUAAAAUCCUGUAAUCCUUGGGAGACCACCUGUGGCGAAGGCGCCAGACCAGAACGGAUCCGACGGUGAGGGACGAAAGCUGGGGGAGCAAAGGGGAUUAGAUACCCCCGUAGUCCCAGCUGUAAACGAUGCCCACUAGACAUUGGCAAUCUCACGGGGGUUGCCAGUGCCGUAGCGAAAGCGUUAAGUGGGCCGCCUGGGGAGUACGGUCGCAAGGCUGAAACUUAAGGGAAUUGGCGGG
rnacentral:rRNA from 1 species